UGUGGGAGGAACUGCACUGUGAGGAGGGGAGAGGACCCUUCCAGAAACCCUCCCAGAAAGGCUUGCCAGGUGGACAGUGGCGGGCAGAGGUUCGUGAGAAGCACGGAUGUACUGUAGCAGGAAGGAAUGGGAGCACCCCAGGACAUGGCAGGAUGGUGACCACCUGCUGGCUGCACUCGUGACUCGCACACAGGGGCAUGGUGCCAUCUGCCCAAUCCUGCCCUUGGCCUGACAUCCAAUGGGGAAUGUGGACGUGAAUCUGCCCCUGGUCUUCUCAGCUCAAAGAGACGCCAUGAACCCACUGGAACAGACGCUGUUGGCCAUCCCUGAAACAUGUGGGUGUCACGCUCCGGCUCCUGCUGACUCAGGGCAAACCUGAUCCUCUAGCCAGAGGUGGAGCGUGCAGCGAGGAAGAAUGUGGACGCGGUAUGUUCACACACACGGCGCUCGGCCCACUGCUCACCCGCCAACAUCUUUCAUGCCGCUCAGCCAAAGGCAAGCGCCUGCCCUACGCAAGACCAGCUCAGAAAUCCAUGACUUCCAAAGUUGGCUCUGUGAUCAUCGGCGCGUGCCAAGGAGCCUGUGUCUCCCUGAGAUCUGAAACCUUGGCAGGAAGCUGAGAUGAGAGAGAUUGCCGCAGGGAUGGUGAAGAACUGGUAUCCUUUGCAAGAAAAACACUAACUGGUGGCUCCUCCGUGCUUCAUUCCUGGCAGAGCCCUGACUUGGAUGCACUCUGACUGUGGAACAAUAGCCCUAAAUGAUAGAAGGUUCUGAAGUCUCACCUGUGUGGAAGGGGCACAUUUAAUCCAGGUUCCAUGGCUGCAUGUGGCUCCAGCACGAUCAGCCACGUUUCACCUGCACAUUCUUUCUCUGAUGACUAGCACCCGGCUGCCUCCAAUGCUCUCCCACGUACCUACUCCACACUGAACAGCCUCAAACCCGUGGACCGCGGUGGAUCCCAUGGAAUGCCUCUGGCUGGUAUACUCAGUAGCGUAACCACUGGGUCAUAGCAUCAGGAGCCCCAGAUCCUUCCAGAAAGGCUGAAGCAUCCACACUCCAUCAGCCACCAUGAACUUGCCUGCAGAACCCAUCCAGGCCAACAUUUGGCUUCACCAGCUUUUCAACUGUUUGCCAGUACAACAGCUGGAAAGUGGCCUUGUGUUCUAGUUCUCAUGUGUGUGAUUACUAAUGACCUUGAGCUUCUCUUUACAUGCAUAAUAGCUUUGGGAUUUUUCUUUGUGUCAUCUGUCCAUAUCCCUUGCCCAUUCUUCUGCUGCGGUUGCUCUCCUUGUCUUUUUGAUUGGCAGGAGUCCCUUGUUAAUCCCUCAUCAACUAUUAACAUUGCAAAUAUCUUUUCUCAUUUGUUCAGCUGUGCAUUAACUUUGUCCAUCUUGUCUUUCAUUUAACAAAACUCUCUAACUCUGACAUAAUGAAAUGUGUCAAUGUGUUGCCCUAUGGCUUGUGCUUUUGAAUUUUUAUUUAAGACAUUCCUGCUUAUAAGUAACAAAGGUUUUUCUCCUGUA